GCUCGCAUAGCUCAGAGGUUAGAGCACAACGCUUAUAACGUUGGGGUCGAUGGUUCAAUUCCAUCUGCGAGCA
rnacentral:tRNA from 1 species